ACCACACACCCCGGACCCAGACAGCCCACUCCACUUUCCAGACGCCCACCUCCUACAUACUCCCCUCCCCUAAACAGACAUUCACCCACUCGCCAUCUGUAGCCUCCUUCCAACCCCCCGCCCCGCCUGCCUGGCUCCCCCUUCCCAAGAAGCAGACCUGCACUGUGGGACGCAGGGACCCCCGCCAGAAGCUCGGGUCGUGCGCGCCGCACUGACCUCGGCCCGCCCCGCUGGGAAACUAACAAAGGCGGGCGCGAGCCCCGAGCCCAGGAGCCGCGAGCGGCGGCCUCGGGGCCGAGGAGCCUGGGCCGGGCCGGGCGGGGACUACUCCGGAGUCAGGAGGCAGCAGCGGCGGAGGACGCGGAUCCCUGGCAGUCAGCGCCGCUCGGACGCUGCCGGCACCAUGGGCUGCUGCACCGGACGCUGCUCGCUCAUCUGCCUCUGCGCGCUGCAGUUGGUCUCAGCAUUAGAGAGGCAGAUCUUUGACUUCCUUGGUUUCCAGUGGGCGCCUAUUCUUGGAAAUUUUCUACACAUAAUAGUUGUCAUAUUGGGUUUGUUUGGGACCAUUCAGUACAGACCUCGAUACAUAAUGGUGUAUACAGUGUGGACUGCCCUCUGGGUCACCUGGAAUGUGUUCAUUAUCUGCUUUUAUUUGGAAGUAGGUGGACUCUCAAAGGACACCGAUCUAAUGACAUUCAAUAUCUCUGUACAUCGGUCAUGGUGGAGAGAACAUGGGCCUGGUUGUGUCAGAAAAGUACUGCCUCCCUCAGCCCAUGGCAUGAUGGAUGAUUACACGUACGUCUCUGUCACAGGCUGCAUCGUUGACUUCCAGUACCUGGAGGUCAUCCACAGUGCUGUCCAAAUACUACUCUCUAUAUUUUUCCUAUAGGUUUCUGCUGUGGAGCCGUACUCACUGCAGACCCUGAAGGAGGAGGAAUACCUGCUUUCUCCCUCUCAGUGGUCUCAGCUGCCGUUCUUCUCACAUAUGCAUCAUCCACACACGUCAAGAUGUUUUGCGGCUUUAUGUCAGUAUGAGUAAUCUUGGUCUUACUGUGUAGAUGUUCUAACCCUUGAAGGAACUGUCGAAUGAUUCUCUUCACACAACGUACUG
rnacentral:sRNA from 1 species